GACGAACGCUGGCGGCGUGCUUAACACAUGCAAGUCGAACGGAAAGGCCCUGCUUUUGUGGGGUGCUCGAGUGGCGAACGGGUGAGUAACACGUGAGUAACCUGCCCUUGACUUUGGGAUAACUUCAGGAAACUGGGGCUAAUACCGGAUAGGAGCUCCUGCUGCAUGGUGGGGGUUGGAAAGUUUCGGCGGUUGGGGAUGGACUCGCGGCUUAUCAGCUUGUUGGUGGGGUAGUGGCUUACCAAGGCUUUGACGGGUAGCCGGCCUGAGAGGGUGACCGGCCACAGUGGGACUGAGAUACGGCGCAGACUCCUACGGGAGGCAGCAGUGGGGAAUAUUGCACAAUGGGCGGAAGCCUGAUGCAGCAACGCCGCGUGCGGGAUGACGGCCUUCGGGUUGUAAACCGCUUCAGCCUGUGACGAAGCGUGAGUGACGGUAAUGGGUAAAGAAGCACCGGCUAACUACGUG
rnacentral:rRNA from 1 species